UUGUGUCUCCUCCAGGUUUUUAAGGACACUGGGCAAGGAGCAUCCGGCCAUGAAAAAAGGUUCACUCCCCCAUCUCCUGGUAAGCAGAAGUUGGAUUGUUGCAGCCUGGAGCCUCCAUGCCGCUUUGGGUGUCAGGGAUGACUGCGCCUUCAUCCUUUCAAUUUGACAUUCAGCUGCCAGCCCUGGGGAGCCCAUUGGCAAACAGAGCCCAGAUGGGGAAGCUGGCAUCCUACCGCUGCUGGCAUUGCUUGCUCGCUGAAGUCCGUGCCCUCGUCCAACCCACAGCCCAGAGCAGCCCCGGAGGCAUGAGCUGAGUGGGAGGAGAGACUGUG